UAAAAAGCUCUAAUUCUAUACUUAAAAUUAACUGUUACAAAAAUUCUCUGCCUAUGCUACAAACAUGCUCUUACUUCGAGGUCCCAAUUUAAUAGGGCUGUUCAAUCAUCAAUGCACAAAGAUGAUUCACUUUUCAGCAACAAACAACAACAUACCCAGUGGAAUCCCACAAUGUGAGGUCUGGGGAGGGUAAAGUGUACCCAGACCUUACCCCUACCUAAGAAGGUAGGGAGGCUGUUUUCGAAAGACGCCUCUUGAAUUUUUGCAGGAAAAGUGGAUAACAUUGAGAGAAAUGGUCUUGUUAGUUACGCUUAAGCUCUUUGGUUUACUCUUUGCUCACUAUUUGGUAUUGCUUUGACUUAUGCGAUUUUAUUUCAUUUGUUAUUGAUUGUGAGUUGGAAUGGAUCCAUCUAAACUAAUUCAUGUGCCAUGUGUGAUGAGACCUAGUAUUAAAAUUUAUUCGCAUACAAAAUUUAUUUGCACACUUUGUCUAGGACUUGUUUUAAUUGUUUGUUGGGGGGAAAUUCUAAGGAAUGCUUGGUUCAGGAUAGGAUAAUAGGUUUUCCUUGGACCGUUUGAGCCGUUCAAGCCUACCAUUUGCAUGACGUAUGACUAUUGUCCCCUUUGAGCUCUUAAAUCCUUUGUUUGGCGACUACAUUAUGACCCUUUCCCUUGUACGCUUUAUCUUAUGAAUCACCGUACCUCUUUGAGUGCUUGAAUUGUAAGAAAUAGGCUGAAAGUCUAAAUCGGGGGAGUGUUGAUCACUUGAUUGGAGGAAGUGUAUUGGAACCGAUUGAAAGCAAAGAAGAGAAUAAAUAAAUGAAGUAUAGUUCUUGAAAAUGAAAAGAAGUAAAGAAUUUGAAAAGAAAGAAAAUGAAACAAAAGAAGUAUGAAUAAAUGGGCAAACUUGGAAGAAGAAACAUACGGACUUGCCUCUGGGUCUCUGACUCUCUGGUAUAAGCUGGUCCAUUGCUUCAUGUUCUAGCACCGUUGUUUGAGUGCGUUCAAAGCAUAAGCAGAGGCACCAAGUUAGGAAUAAUAUUUUGUAGAAACUUGUCUUUCCCUGUUAGUUUUAUGUUCCUUCUGAUUUUUUUUUGGUUACUUGAGUAAUAUAGUGCAGUAUUCUUAUUCAUAUAUCAUUAUGAUGAAGCUCAUUGUAUGUAACUUGGGUAAAAGGCAACAUGAACCUCACAUGUUUAUGUCUCUUUGCUCAACUAAACUGAAGUAUAAUGACGCAUCAACGAGCGGAAUCCAUUUUAACUCCUGAUUUGAGUAGGAAAUUCAGAGAGCUUUGUCCCUCAAAAGACAUCAAACCACUAGAAUUUUUUUGAUUUCUUAUAGACCUUUCUGUAUAGAUAUUUAUGUUACCUGCCAUUUGGUGUUCUGUAUUUGAUCAGGAGGAAACUUGGUCUAAAUGUUGUUACGUCAACGAACAUAACUUUUGGCUGAUUGUCUUGGUCGACGUAUGUUAUCGUUUUAUCAGUUUUGUUGGUUGACUUAUGAUCAGAAUGUGUAUUGAACAGGAGAACAAAAAGAGUGCUGAAAGUCAAACUUUUAAGUACGGCUUACUAAAAUAUGCCAGAAAGGAGAAUCAGUUCUAGAAUUCUGCCCCAAUUGUUUGGAUCAGCGAUAUAUAGUUUGUGCUUUCUUGUAAUAGUUUCCUUUUGUUAGUAUUUAAUACAAUACUAAAAUUUUAUUGUCCGUGCAUGAUGCUAAGGUGUAUUCCAUUGAUAAUUGGAAUACCAACAUCGUUGAUACUUUAUGAGCUUACUGCAGUUCUCAGAACAGAAAUCUCACUGUUGAUUGUUCAGCAAAGUGUUAACCGAAAAUCCUAAAUUUGCUUGCUAAUACUUUGUAACUUGCAGAAGUACAGGCUUGGAAAAAGGUAGUAAAUUGGAGGGUAUCCCGAGAAUCGAACUCGGGACCUCUUGCACCUGAAUUGAGAAUCAUACCACUAGACCAAAUGCCCAGCUUUAGUUGGUCCCAUAGACUAAGUGAUAGGUGGAAAUUUCUUUUCAGUUGUCUGGAGCUUAUACUGUUUUGUGAAAUGAUUUUCUAGGAGUGAUGAGCAUUGCAAUGUCUCAGGGCUCUUCCAUUGUUAAAAUAAUUGAUAUGGAAAGACAUAACUAUGCUAUUAAAGGUGUUUUACCCAAAUAGAGGCAGUUAGAGAUGGAGGAGCACUUGAGGAUUUAAUAAACUUAAGAGUAAAUAAAUUUUUUAUCAAAAUCAAGGGGCAUUCCGAGAAUCGAACUCGGGACCUCUCGCACCCAAAGCGAGAAUCAUACCACUAGACCAAAUGCCCGUUGUUGACAAUUGCCAUCUUUGAGUUCUAUUCAAAUGUAUUUUCCCCUUGUGAGUUAUUUGAUUGUAUUACUUAUCUGUAAUUUAGACUUCAGAUGCUCUGAUUUCAUAACAGUUGAUCUUCAUUUGCUUACUUUCAUAUUCUUGGUAGUUCUCUUUUUUUUACUUUAGUGAUUGAGAACUGUCAAUGGACAUGAGGCCAGGAUCCUGGCAUUAGCUGUAUCAGUUUUGCAUAGUUGAACAUCGUAGUUUGACUUAUGUCAGAGGCUCAUAGCUGAAGUAAGGAAAACUUCCGCUAAGUUUAUCAAUAUCACAUUUAUAGUUAAACACGGGCUAUCUGUUGGGUUCUCUUAUUACCAAUUCUCUUUUAGCUACCUUUUUUACUAAGCUACGUCCUCACUUGUUUUCAUGAAAUAGACGAGCUUAUGUUGUAAAUUGGUACAAAACAACAUGGUACAUUGAUGUUCAUGCAUCUUUGGACGUUGGUUCACUAAAUUGAAAUAAUAUGGCUCUGAACUAUGGAUACUCAUUUAACUCCUCGUUUUGACGUGAAAUUCAGAGAACUUUUUGCCUCAAUUUUGUGAAAGACCUCCGAGCCAUUGAUCAUCAAUGAUUUCAGUUGUUACUGUUGAAUUCCUUGAGCCCUAAAUGACCUCGUUAUAAUCCAAACUUUAUGAAUCUUUGAUAUUAAAGCAAACCAAGGUACUAACUUAACUUUUUUACCUGCUUAGUCAAAUUGAAAACAGAUGGCAAAAAUGGAAAGCGUGUCCGAAUUGAUGUCUUAUGAUAGUUGAGAUACUUGAGCUUACCCAUUCAACAUUUUAUGUUCAGGGAUCCUUAGGGAGUUUGGCUCUGAACUUUGGAGUUGCAGAUCUGCUUAUCUGAACAGGCAAGCCCAAGUCUGCACUAUUGCAGGGAUUUCUUGGUAGUUCUAUGUUGAAUUUUGGAGUUCCAGAUCUGCUUACUUGUAAACUAGAGAGGAACUUUUUGGGAGUUAGACGUUGAACUUUGGAGUUCCAGAUCUGCUUUUCGGUGAACUGAUCAAGCAAGCCCAACUCAUCACUAUUGCAAGUAUUCAUGAGAUUUUGUUGUAUGAAGACAGUUCUUAGUUGACUUGAGAUCAGCUUACCAAAAUGGAAACAAUAAAGAGCUCUUGAAGUCAAGCAUUAGGUAAGGUUUGGUACAAAUACAAAGCAAAGUUAGGUCUGGACUGUACAAAUGGUCCUACUUGUUGAUAAUUAAUAAACCAAAGAUAUAUUGAUUCCCGUUGGCAUUAAAUUGUCAGCAUGUGACCAAGUGUGAAUUCUAUUUUUGGAAUCUCAGAACAUCAAUCUGAAUGCUGAUCUUUUAACAAAAUACUAGGAGUCUUGCACCCAUGAAUCAUACAACUAGACUGAAUACCCAGUUUUUAAUGUUCCUGGUAGACAAUCUUGUAAAAAAUAUACUACUUUUGGAGAUUAUUUGACAUAAUUGAAGAGUGGAGUAACAAGGUUAACACUAAGUCGUCCCAGAUGAAAAAGUCAGGUUGUGUUCUGCUUCAAUU